rnacentral:rRNA from 1 species
GCAAGAAUAAGCAUCGGCUAACUCCGUGCCAGCAGCCGCGGUAAUACGGAGGAUGCGAGCGUUAUCCGGAUUCAUUGGGUUUAAAGGGUGCGCAGGCGGUGGGACAAGUCAGUGGUGAAAGCCCUGGGCUUAACUCAGGGAUUGCCAUUGAAACUGUUUCACUUGAGUGUAGUUGAGGACGGCGGAAUGAGUUGUGUAGCGGUGAAAUGCAUAGAUAUAACUCAGAACACCAAUUGCGAAGGCAGCUGUCCAGACUACAACUGACGCUGAGGCACGAAAGCGUGGGGAGCGAACAGGAUUAGAUACCCUGGUAGUCCACGCUGUAAACGAUGAUCACUCGUUGUUGGCUACAAGGUAGUCAGUGACUAAGGGAAACCAUUAAGUGAUCCACCUGGGGAGUACGUCGGCAACGAUGAAACUCAAAGGAAUUGACGGGGGCCCGCACAAGCGGAGGAACAUGUGGUUUAAUUCGAUGAUACGCGAGGAACCUUACCUGGGCUUAAAUGCAGGCUGCAUUCAUGUGAAAGCGUGAUUUCCUACGGGACUGCCUGCAAGGUGCUGCAUGGUUGUCGUCAGCUCGUGCCGUGAGGUGUCGGGUUAAGUCCCAUAACGAGCGCAACCCCUAUCGCUAGUUGCCAGCAUGUAAUGGUGGGGACUCUAGCGAGACUGCCGGUGUAAACCGGAGGAAGGUGGGGAUGACGUCAAUCAGCACGGCCCUUACGUCCAGGGCUACACACGUGUUACAAUGGCCGGUACAAAGAGCAGCGACCUGGCGACAGGGUGCUAAUCUUUAAAGCCGGUCUCAGUUCGGAUCGAAGUCUGCAAUUCGACUUCGUGAAGGUGGAUU